AGUCGUCUUAGUUUAAAUAAAAUGUUGUGUUGUGGCCGCAGAGAUAAAAUUUUUUAGUCGAU
rnacentral:tRNA from 1 species